UCCAAAAGUGGACAACAGAUCCCCUGCCUUUGGCGAGGAGAGGCUAGGUGGGUCCGUGGAGCAAGGACACUUAAAAGCCACAAGAGUCCACCAACCGAUGAAUAAAUAAACAUGCUCUCUGGCCAUACAAUGGGAUAUUAUUCAGUCGUGGAAGGGACUGAAGCACCGAUCCGUGCUGCAGCGUGGAUGAGCCAGGACACCUUUAUGGAGCUCUGGGCCUACCCCGUGCUGGUUGUGUCAGCCUCUUUGGGUCGAGGGGCCCAAGAUGGACAUCGGGAAAAGCUUCCAUGUGGGCCCCCGGACCGCUGCUGGACCCUCAUCAGCACCAGGGAACAUGGUGAUGGAACGAACAAAUGAAUGAAUAAUGAAAGAAGAACCUGUCCGAUAACAGCUGUUGUUCGCGUAGAGUCAACGCUGGCUGUUUGAUAAGUGUGUGAAUGUGCCCGUCUUGCCCAGGGCCCACAGCCCAACAGAACACGAAGGCAAAACUGGCUGUUCGGGGCUUACCCAGUCAAGCUGCCUCUCUCCCAUACUCCUCCUCCCGCAUCUCCUCCCAUUUCUUUUAACCUCUUCCAAUUUUAAAAAUAAGAAAUUAAAAUAUUGAAAGAUA